AGAGAUAUCAACAUAUAAAUUCACUACAUUCAUGUCGAAACCACCCUUAAAGGUUCCACAAAACGUACGCAGUAUGAUAAAAAAUCAAGUCAAAGACCAUUCAAAGAGAUAAAAUUAGACUAAUGAUGGCAUAUGUACAAUAGUUGAAUAGGGAAAUGUAUACGAUCGUCCGAUCAAUGGCAGGAAAAAAGAGUGCUUCUAAAGGCAUGUGCUGAGAACCAAAAAGGCAAGGUUGAGCUGUCCUUUACAGAAUACAUCUCCUUCCAGACUCCGCCGUUUCUGCUAUACCAAAACCUGCUUAUGUGUAGCAAGGUUAAGAUAGUUGCCAGUUUGUCUUAUGGAGAAAUGCCCGGUAUCACUUUACUGCAUCAAAACUACAUCUGUGGCUCCGUGCCGAUUGCUGAAACCACCUUCGACAUUCCACACAAGAUAUACAGUAUGACAGGAAAGCAAGAAGACGUACCACUCAAAGAGAUAGGAGUCAGACUAGUGAUAGCAUUAUGUACAACAGUUGAAUAGGAUGAUGUAUACAAUCCUUGGAUCAAUGGCAGGAAAAGAGAGUGUUCCAAAAGGCAUGAGCGGAGAACCAUAAAGGCAAGGUUGAGCUGUCCUUUACAGAGUAC
rnacentral:lncRNA from 1 species